UCUAGCACAUGAGAAGCCUGGCUGGGCCCAGGUACUUUUCAGGGGGCAAGUCCUAAUCACAGGAGGCAUGGACCUGGGCCCCUCCAUCAGACCUGGACCCAGAAUUUGUUCUGACUGCUCUGCAGAGGAACCUAAUUGAGGCAGAGAUUCUAACGGGAUGUGGUGCAGAAAGCUGAUGUGGGGUAUAAAAUGAGCACACAGCAAGGCAAAACUUGACAGUCUAUUUGAACAAUAAUAUGCAGAAAGUAACUGCAUGGCCAAAGGUGGUCAAAAUAUCCAGUAUGUACUGUA